CUCCUUGUUGUCCUGCCGGUGGCUGCCGCGCUCGGUGCGGAAGCGUUUGGAGGCCAGCGCCUCCUCGUCCCUCUCCAGCUCCUGCCGCUGCAGCUCCCGGAUGGCCGAGCGGAUGCGGCGCCGCUCGGCGAGGUCCAGCGUCGCCUCCAGCAGCUUUCUCAGCGCGCCCUCGUCCAUGCCCUGCAGGCUCUCCUGAGACAUCGUGCCCGCCCGCUGCCCCCCGCCAGGCUCCGGCUCCCGUCCGCUCCCGAUCCGGCACCGCUCCGCCGGGCCGGGCCCGCUCUCGCAGCCGCGCAGCCCCGCGCAGUCCCGCUCCCGCCCGGCCCGGCCCCGCGCUGCCCCGCCCGCGCCCACCGCCGCCAUUGGUUCUCCGCU
rnacentral:lncRNA from 1 species